rnacentral:rRNA from 1 species
CUAGCAUAUCCAUAGCGGAGGAAAAGAAACCAACAGGGAUUGCCCCAGUAACGGCGAGUGAAGCGGCAACAGCUCAAAUUUGAAAUCUGGCCUCGGCCCGAGUUGUAAUUUGCAGAGGAUGUUUCUGGCGCGGUGCCUUCUGAGUUCCCUGGAACGGGACGCCAUAGAGGGUGAGAGCCCCGUACGGUUGGACGCCUAGCCUGUGUGAAACUCCUUCGACGAGUCGAGUAGUUUGGGAAUGCUGCUCAAAAUGGGAGGUAUAUCUCUUCUAAAGCUAAAUAUUGGCCAGAGACCGAUAGCGCACAAGUAGAGUGAUCGAAAGAUGAAAAGCACCUUGAAAAGGGGGUUAAACAGCACGUGAAAUUGUUGAAAGGGAAGCGCCCAUGACCAGACUUGUGCCCGGCGGAUCACCCAGCGUUCUCGCUGGGGCACUCCGCCGGGUCCAGGCCAGCAUCGGUUUUCGCCGGGGGAUAAAGGCUCUGGGAACGUAGCUCCUCCGGGAGUGUUAUAGCCCUCUGCGUAAUACCCUGGCGGGGACCGAGGUACGCGCUCCGCAAGGAUGCUGGCGUAAUGGUCAUCAGCGACCCGUCUUGAAACACGGAUCAAGGAGUCGUCCAUUAGAGCGAGCGUUUGGGUGUCAAACCCGCACGCGUAAUGAAAGUGAACGUAGGUGAGAGCUUCGGCGCAUCAUCGACCGAUCCUGAUGUCCUCGGAUGGAUUUGAGUAUGAGUUUUACUGGACGGACCCGAAAGAUGGUGAACUAUGCCUGAAUAGGGUGAAGCCAGAGGAAACUCUGGUGGAGGCUCGCAGCGGUUCUGACGUGCAAAUCGAUCGUCAAAUUUGGGCAUGGGGGCGAAAGACUAAUCGAACCAUCUAGUAGCUGGUUACCGCCGAA